AAAUGAGGAUCAAAGGCUAAGUACGCGCCGUCUUGGCGGCAGGCUCAAAGCGCAACUUCCUGUUGCUUCACCUACACUAGUACUACCUUGUACGUCGACGCCUUCGUGACCUACAUCCUGUAGG
rnacentral:sRNA from 1 species